UAGGGAAUCUUCGGCAAUGGGGGGAACCCUGACCGAGCAACGCCGCGUGAGUGAAGAAGGUUUUCGGAUCGUAAAGCUCUGUUGUUAAGGAAGAACGAGUGUGAGAAUGGAAAGUUCAUACUGUGACGGUACUUAACCAGAAAGGGACGGCUAACUACGUGCCAGCAGCCGCGGUAAUACGUAGGUCCCGAGCGUUGUCCGGAUUUAUUGGGCGUAAAGCGAGCGCAGGCGGUUAGAUAAGUCUGAAGUUAAAGGCAGUGGCUCAACCAUUGUAGGCUUUGGAAACUGUUUAACUUGAGUGCAGAAGGGGAGAGUGGAAUUCCAUGUGUAGCGGUGAAAUGCGUAGAUAUAUGGAGGAACACCGGUGGCGAAAGCGGCUCUCUGGUCUGUAACUGACGCGGGGGCUCGAAAGCGUGGGGAGCGAACAGG
rnacentral:rRNA from 1 species